UACAGGACUAAGUUCACCGGCUGAUUGAAAACAUCAAGUCUGCCAGUGUCUCAGCAAUCACUGCUGACAAGGCGUAACUUGAGAUGUCCCCACAAGGAACAGCAAGAUGGACAAUUGUAGCAUUAUAGUAAAUGUGAAGAGCAGUCGUAUAGAAGAAGACGGGGAAGGGAAGAAGAGGCCAGGGUGUGAAAGAUUUUAAAAGCCAAGCAGGAGUUGACAUGGAAGGGGAGACCUGGGCAUUGAGGGUGACAGGUUGUGAGCAGCCUCAGUCUCUCCAAAUUAUACCACCACCAAGACCUCAAACAGAUUCUAAUGCUACUGAUCUUUCAACUGCUCCCUUUGAUUUCACACUCAACUGAAUCUUGGCCCUCUUUGUGACCUCCAAGCCUGUGGCCCAACCCUGUUCAAUCAGUUCGUCUCCCCAACUUUGACUUCACUUGCUUUCCAAAGCCAUUUUGACCUCAUGGCCAUUCAUUUGCUUUAAUGUUCCACCAUUUAGUAUCCUAGAAUUCUUUGCCCCCCGUGACCAUCUCCCCAUCUGGAUGAAUCCUCAGACUUGAGUAAAUCCAACCAUCUGGUUUCUCCACUUGUGUUCCAGGGCCUCUUUUGUAACUUGGGAGAAAGUUAUAAAGUCAGACUUCACAAAGUUGUGAUAUCUAAGUUCAGCUAGGCUUCAUGCUUCUGCCCCUUCCUUUCCCUUUACCCGUUUUUUAGUUUGUUCUUCACAGCAUGGGAUCUGAAUUUUCUCUUGUUUCUACCUGCACCCUCCAACUUCAUCCAACAUGUGCUUCCUCAGCCCACCUGCCAUCAAAUUUCUCAGCAUUAUCCACGCUCUCCUAUCCUCAGGUCACAGAAGAGGUAUCUACUCUGCACUAAGGGCCAGCCAAAGCUCUAACUCCUUCUGGAAGGCUUGACCACCACAGCCCACAGAGUGCCCUUCUGGAAUCCUCCUAACUCCUGCAGC